GACGAACGCUGGCGGCGUGCUUAACACAUGCAAGUCGAACGGUAAGGCCCCUUCGGGGGUGCACGAGUGGCGAACGGGUGAGUAACACGUGAGCAACCUGCCCUUGACUCUGGAAUAACAGUUGGAAACAGCUGCUAAUACUGGAUAUUCAUCGUCUCCUUCCUGGGGGGUGGUGGAAAGCUCCGGCGGUCAGGGAUGGGCUCGCGGCCUAUCAGCUUGUUGGUGAGGUAAUGGCUCACCAAGGCUUCGACGGGUAGCCGGCCUGAGAGGGCGACCGGCCACACUGGGACUGAGAUACGGCCCAGACUCCUACGGGAGGCAGCAGUGGGGAAUAUUGCACAAUGGGCGCAAGCCUGAUGCAGCAACGCCGCGUGCGGGAUGACGGCCUUCGGGUUGUAAACCGCUUUCAGUAGGGACGAAGGGUGACUGACGGUACCUACAGAAGAAGGACCGGCUAACUACGUG
rnacentral:rRNA from 1 species